rnacentral:rRNA from 2 species
CGGGGAAUUAGGGUUCGACUCCGGAGAGGGAGCCUGAGAAACGGCUACCACAUCCAAGGAAGGCAGCAGGCGCGCAAAUUACCCAAUCCCAACAUGGGGAGGUAGUGACAAGAAAUACUGAUAUAGGGUCCUAUAGGAUCUUGUAAUUGGAAUGAGUACAAUUUAAACCCAUUAACGAGGAACAACUAGAGGGCAAGUCUGGUGCCAGCAGCCGCGGUAAUUCCAGCUCUAGUAGCAUACAUUAAAAUUGUUGCAGUUAAAACGCCCGUAGUUGAAGCUUAGGUCCUUAUCAUCUAGUCUGCCUCACCGCUAGCACUGGUAUGAUUGGGCCUUUUUUCUUGGUAAACUGUUAUGCCCUUUAUUGGGUGUGGCAGUGAACUAGGACUUUUACUUUGAAAAAAUUAGAGUGUUUAAAGCAGGCUUUUGCUCGAAUACCUUAGCAUGGAAUAAUGGAAUAUGACGAGUGGUUGUUUUUCAUUGGUUUUCACGACUACC